AAACUUUCUGUGAACCAAGCACCAAGAUCAUACCGCCAGUUACUGCACUUGUGUUCAAACAGAAAGCCCCAAACACGUCAGAAUUGUACGUGCACUAUUAUCAAUUCACUUUUUUUUCGCUUUGGAGGAGCAAUGGACAUUACAAGGUUCAACCAACUGGUGGCACUCCCUGACUUUGCCCGCGAAGUGGAGCGGUGCGAGUUCUGCGCAAUUGAUCAGGAAAUGACGGGUGUCGAUGUAACCGGUGUUUCAGCACCGUUCGGCGCCCCGCCAGAGGCGGUGUACCACGCGAAACGAGCCGCUGUGGUAGUAUACAAUGCCUUUCAAAUGGGCAUCGCUCUCUUCACGAAAACUGAGAACAACACGUACGAGGUUCGUCCAUACAACUUUUACCUGCUCAAUGACAGUGGGGACCUGCGGCUAAACCUCUCGGUCGUCUCCUUUUUGGCAGCAAAUCACCUCAAUUUCCAGACGUGGCUCACCUCCGGGCUUCCAUUCUGCAACGAACAAGAGGAAGCUGCCUACGAGGAGAAGCUUCACAUGCCCUUCACCGACCAUGCUGAGCAGCAAAUCGCCGAUGCGCUCAUUGAAGCAAUCGACGAGUGGAUGCCGGCUGGCAAUGAGCCGCUAGUCAGAGAGCUGCCCUGCGUGAUAGAUCUCGCACGGCGUCUGCAGAGCUUUCUGUACCGUCGAUACGACUCUCGCAUCGCCGUCAACUACGAUGGAAAACCAUACCUGGGGCAGAAUAUAAAGUUUACGCUGACGAAACUGGACACGAAUGAAUGGAUCAGUGAAAAGGAAAAAAGGCGUUUGCAGUGCGAGCGUGAUCGUGGGCAACAGCUUGGCUUUCGACUAUUCUGGAAAAUUCUUGUGCAGAGCAGAAAACCGAUCGUCGGCCACAACUUUAUGCAAGACGUUAUGUUCAUGAUUCACAUGCACGAAACGCCUAUUUCGCAGGAUUACCUUGAAUUCAAGAAAGUGCUGCAACGCACGCUGCCUUCUAUUUACGACACAAAAACCAUGGCCACCAAGUUGACGGGAGACGAUGCCUUUCCAGUCACACACUUGGAGCCUUUGUAUCAAGAGUGUCGCCGGCGAGCUGGUUUCUCGAGCGACCAAUUCACGCAAGAGUACCGGUUACCACCCGGGUUUUACGGGUAUAAUGACUCCGCCGUAAAGCUGCAAAGCAAGGCACACGAAGCAGCGUACGACGCGUACAUGACCGGAAUCGCGUUCUCACUUAUGCACAAACUUUACCCAGGCGCCUUCAUGGAGAUGAAAAAUGUCAUUUCAGCGUUUGGAAGUGCUUACUUUUUUUGCGUUGACACAGAUGACCAGCUCGUCAACCCCAGCACGUUCAUUCUGAAAUGUGCUGUUCCCUGCCAUUCGGAAGAGAUUGAAGCACUCUUUUUCGCCACUGAAGAUAUCACCACCCAAGCGACAGAAAAUGGAAAAGUGGAUAUGAAAAAACUUUCCUACCAGGUCAACGGUCUUGCAAUCAGCGAGGGUGCUAAAAACUACUCGUCAUUCUGCGUUCGAAUGAAGCAGGCUAUGGGAAUCGAUGAUCUACACCGUCGCCUACAGUCGCUCCGAGACAAGGAAUUGUCUCCGAGCACAAACGUCAACCCUCUGUUGCUAGAUCUCAUUACCUUGCACAACGCCUGAUAGAAUUCUCUGCUCCCCUCUCAUCUGAGGUUCUUGUAAAAUUGGUUUCUUCAAAAACUGACUGGUGCGAUUUUUUUUUGUUUGUAGCCGUUUUGAUGGCCCUACUCGUAGGCAUACGUCAAGAAAUUAGCUGUGAUGCAGCGCCUGCAGAAACGGCCGAUCAAAAAAAAGGAAAACAUGUUUUGUCAGUGUUGCCGUGUUUUUUCUCCUCUUUUUGCGUCAGUGACCUGAAUGGUAGCAUUGGAGACAAG
rnacentral:misc_RNA from 1 species